rnacentral:rRNA from 1 species
AUUGAACGCUGGCGGCAUGCUUUACACAUGCAAGUCGAACGGUAACAGGCCGCAAGGUGCUGACGAGUGGCGAACGGGUGAGUAAUGCAUCGGAACGUGCCCAGGCGUGGGGGAUAACGCAGCGAAAGCUGCGCUAAUACCGCAUACGAUCUAUGGAUGAAAGCGGGGGACCGUAAGGCCUCGCGCGAUUGGAGCGGCCGAUGUCAGAUUAGGUAGUUGGUGGGGUAAAGGCUCACUAAGCCAACGAUCUGUAGCUGGUCUGAGAGGACGACCAGCCACGCUGGGACUGAGACACGGCCCAGACUCCUACGGGAGGCAGCAGUGGGGAAUUUUGGACAAUGGGCGCAAGCCUGAUCCAGCAAUGCCGCGUGCAGGAAGAAGGCGUUCGGGUUGUAAACGGCUUUUGUACGGAACGAAACGGUCUGGGUUAAUACCUCGGGCUAAUGACGGUACCGUAAGAAUAAGCACCGGCUAACUACGUGCCAGCCGCCGCAGUAAGAC